GUUUACCUGUGUGUGGAUAUUGUUCGGCGCCAGGGACAAGCAUGUUUACCUGUGUGUGUAUAUUGUUCAGCACCAGGGACAUGCAUGCUUACUU
rnacentral:pre_miRNA from 1 species